AACGAAUCGGAAAACACAAAGAUGAAUCCCGCACUUCCCACAGAGACUGCUCAGGGGAGGAACUGCAGGCUCUCUGGGCUCCUUCCCUCCGCGCCUCGCGCUGUGGCCACUAGAUGGCGGUGUUGCAUAGUAGCCCCUGGUGGCUCCAGAAGCGACUGCUCAGAAGGGCCUCGGAACCGCUGCAGAAGGACUCUGCUCAGAUGGCACCUCCUCUGGGAAGCCUUCCGGGAUUCGUCCCACAGAGCUAAGCAUCAUCCGAGGACAUCACGUCAACAUCCCUCGUGUGUUUCCCUGCUGAGUUUCCAGACUAAUAAUCACUGGGGAGUGAUUGUUCCCCAGUGCCGUUAGUGACCCUGGGUUUGCCAACUCAAGGGCCCACAGGGGCCGGUUCAAAACACCAGGGAGGGACCAGCAGUUGAUGUAAUGGCUAAGUUGCUGGACUCCCAUGUAGUUGACCACAG